GAUACCAUGAUCACGAAGGUGGUUUUCCCAGGGCAAGGCUUAUCCAUUGCACUCUGGAUGAUCGGAAGAGAGU